GAGAUGAUGCAGAAGGAGGAGGGUGUGAAAGGGGGCCGUGCUCUUCUUGGUUGGGAGGAGAGGAUGCGGGAGGAGGAUGACGAGAAGGGGUGAGGGCGCUCCAUCCGGCGCCCAGCAACGCCGGCGGCCAACACCUCCAGCGACGCCGGCAACAACCACGCCAGCCAGGGUUGGUUGUCCGUCUUCGCCACUGACAUCCUGCAUCGAAGGUUCUCAUGGAAUGGAUAAUCAGGACAUGAUGCGCAUCGUAUACACGCUGCAUGUACGGUGCUCACACGAAAUCGGCUUACCUGUUGCGGUCAGCGGUGCUACUAUACUUAAAAGCUUGUUUCUUUUGGGUUAGAUACCAACACCGCUUCGCUGCAUGUUAAGCAGCUAGAUAGCUCAAUGUUUAUCAGCGCAGAAGGAAUGUGCAUGUUCAUUCUAAACAUACAGAGAUGCAACAUCAAAGGAUGAGUUGAUGUUGGUUAAAGGGAUGAUUGCGCUGCCUCCUUGCUCAGGUAUAUAUAUUUUGCUCUAUUUUACCUGUAUGCAUGUGCUGAUUUUGUUGGCAUCAUCCUUGGUAACUCUGCCUUUUUUUUUUCUGCAGACAUGUGUUCAUUUCUCUGGACAUUGGUUGAACAUUGCCCAUGUAGCACUCACCUGGGUGUGUAUUGUGCUAAUGUCUACCAUGGUAUAACUCAUCUUCAUGAUACUGACGUGAAUAUGAUAUUGAGGAUGUACUGAGUGGUAUUCCAGGCAAAGCAUGUGCAAUACUUUUAUUGGUUCAGCGCUGAUUAUUAUUUCCUUACCUUUCAAAGCCAUAUUUGUAGAGGCUGAGGCUGAAUCACACAAUGUUCCGGAGCUGCACCGGCCGCCCCGUACCUUCGCUCCCACCUUCGCUGGCUCCAGACGCCAGUCCUCCGCCGUUGAUAUUUUUUGGUGGUAAUAUGGAUGCACUUGCCGUUGCUGGUAUUGCCUAAUAAUACGACUACCCAUGCACAUGUCAGCUUCAUCUGAUAUUAUGUCUUUCAUUUAUAUAUCUUUUAUUUGACCCUCCAUCUUUCAACAACUUUCUUAUGGAAUACUAAACCAAACUCAGUUU